GCCUUAGGUCUCUAUUGAGUGACGCUAAUAACUGUGAUAUCAUCCUGCUUCAAUGGAUCUUUGACUGUAGCAAUUUUAUUGGUUCCCACAAACAAUCCCGGAUUUUCCUGGUAUAGGAAAAACAUCCCGGAUUGGGCGUGUCUCUCUAAUCAACCAUAGUAUAAAUAUGAGGACAAUCUUAACAGUUUUAUUCUUUUCUCUUUUCAUCUCGAUAAAUACGCUGAGCUUCAACAGUCCAAUCCAAAAAUGGCUAAAAUUGGUGUUGUCUCCCUUAUUGUUUUGAUAGCUGUGGUAUAUAAUGUUGAUGCUUGGCUUCUAAAGAAAGGUUGGAAUGAAAAAAAUUGUUUCUGUAAGGCUGUUGAUAAUGACAACUAUGCCACAGUUCUUCAUGAUUUUGGUAAGAUCCAGGGAUGUAAAGGCUGGGCCGGAUGUGGUUGUCGUCGAACAGAAAUGAUAACUUGUGGAACAGAAUGUGAACGUAGAGUGAAAGAAUGGACCAAGGAUCACUGUCCAACUAAUUUAAAAGGAAGAAAGGUUCGAGCCUCCUAUACAGCUAGUGUAUGUAAUAAGGGAGUCGGACAUCAGGUGUAUGAUUGUGGAAAUAUGUGUCUAUGUCCAUGUCAAGGUUAAAAACACAUUGUAGAUAUCGUCCGUUGUUUAUGGUCAAAAUUUCGUCCAUUUAUAGCAAUAAUUUGUUUCAUUUAUGUCCCUUGUUUAUGGUCAAAACUAAUCUUGGUUUCGUUCAUUUAUCGCAAUAAUUUGUUUCAUGUAUAUCCAUUUGAAAGUCAAAGUGAUGUUCUUAUAUUUAUACAAUGUUACGUUUUAUGAUUAAAAGAUUAUAUUUAAAACAA